CAGCUUCUAAGCACUGACAAUGCGCGCUUAUAGGCUACGCGCCGGCCCUAAGCCCGCAAGAUUCGGGGCGAGGAAGAAGAGAGGCCUGGAUUCUAACCGAGCCCCCGCAGUCCGCAAUUUAUAAUCACUCUGGACCCCAUCAUCCUGCGGAGAAAGGCCAGCAGGGGCCAUGGCUUGAUUCUUCGGUUGAGAAAGCAAUUUAGUUAGGGAGGAAAUAAAGAUAAUUAGCACCAGCCAGGAAACAGUAGGGUGGAGCCAACUGCCAGCCGCCGUGCAUGCGAGCCCCAGUGGCCUAAUGGAUAAGGCAUUGGCCUCCUAAGCCAGGGAUUGUGGGUUCAAGUCCCAUCUGGGGUGGCUCCUUUUGGACUAGAAUAAAAAAGGCUCAAGUUUAAACUGUGUUUACUUGCUGCAAUAAACAAUUAACUACCCCAAACUAAAGGUUUAAAAAAUAAGGAAUCCCUUAUUGCUGAUGAGGCGGUGGCCUAGAAGUCUCCUUACAUUCUGGGAUCAUAUACAAAAUAAUUAUAUAAUGUUAGCCUGGGAGCACACAGUAACAGCAAGAAUAUGCGAUGAUCAACUAGGAAAGACUCAGUUCUCCGCAGCUCAGUGACUCUAAGCACUUUCAAAUUGGACAGAAAAUGCCAUCUGCAGCCAGAAAAAGAACUAAGGAGAUUGAAUGAAAAUCAACACAUGCUAUGUUCACUUCUUUUUUUGUUUUUUUUCUUAUCUCUUCCAUGGUUUUUCCCUUUUUCUCUGAUUUUUCUCUCCCAACACUUUAUUGGAACCAAGUAUCUACUCUUCAAACCAUGAAAUGCUUUCUCUCUUCCUUCUAUAUAUCUUCAAUGAGCUGUCUGAAAUGGCGGACCACGAGCUUGGAGCCAUUGCGUCCCCGCGGCUUCCCAAGGAGUUGAACCGAGUGCAUGUCUCUCCAGCAACUCUGAAUGGGGAACGUAGCUCCGGAUCCCUGACGAGAAAAUUGUAGAGGUUUAAAAUCUAAUUAGAACUAUCCAAGAUGCUCGGUUCUUUAGAAGAGGUGAAAGGGGCUAACAAAGUCGGAUUAAAGAUAUAAGUGAAAAACACUGUCGGGUUACUGUUAUGCCACAGUUCUCUUUUAUCGUCUUGACUCAGUUUCCCUAAAAAUCCUGACUCAGUCCGGCUCGUUUUCUAACAUGUUGGUGGGAAGCCUCCAAAAUGUAAUGCCGGAGAAACUGAGCAAGAUAGAGAUUAGAGAGUAUUUAAUAAUUUAUUAAAUGGGGAGAUUUACUGGGAUCAAAUGGAUCCAUGGUUUGAAUGAGAUUAUCAUCUCCCAGAAUCCAGCAAACAACGUGAAUUCUCAAAGAUACGUGGCUCAGACGCAGGGGGUAGACUGAGGCAGGGGCAGAUGAGAGCGGGAACCGGAUUCUGAUGCGGUGGGUGAGCCGCCAAAGGGGAGGACGACAUAAUCAGGGGGAGGCACCAGAGAUGGGGAGAGGCAGCUUGAGAAGGGGAUCUGACAUUCCCAUAGCUUGAGAUGGGGGGAGGCAUUCUGAUAUUCUAAAACAUAAGAUAUUCUGUCUUUAUCAGGUAUUCUGAUAGAGAGAGGGGGGGUUUUGCAGCACUGAGAAGCAGGGAAACCGAGGCAGGACUGAGUCAGGAUAAUUAGGGAAACUGAAUCAGGACAAUAAAAGAGAACUGUGGCAUAACAUUUACAUUUAUCACAUUCACAUCAGAAGUUAGUUUUAUUUUUCCUUACUUUCUCUUUCUGCACUAGAAUUGGAAAUAAAACUUCAGAGGUUAAAUUGGAAAUCUCCAUUUCUGGAAGAAUUAACUACAUAAAAAAACAAACAAAACAAAACAAAGAAACCAAAAAACCUGUCUCUUGAGAUUGAAGAGCAGUUAUUUUGAAACUAUAACCUAAACUAUAAUCACUAGAUACACUUCUUUAAACCCAAUAUUUUAAUACUUGUCUUUAAUACUUAGAAGAAAUCUCCCUAGCACUUUUAAAAAGACCAUUUCCUGAUCAUCAGAAUGAUUUCAGAAAGGCCUGGAGAGACUUACAUGAACUGAUGCUGAAUGAAAUGAGCAAGAGUAGGAGAUCAUUAUAUACUUCAACAACAAUACUAUAUGAUGACCAGUUCUGAUGGACGUGGCCCUCUUCAACAAUGAGAUGAACCAAAUCAGUUCCAAUAGAGCAGUAAUGAACUGAACCAGCUACGCCCAGAGAAAGAACUCUGGGAGAUGACUAUUAACCACCACAUACAAUCCCUCUAUUUUUGUCUGCCUGAAUUUUUGAUUUCCUUUACAGGCUAAUAGCACACUAUUUCAAAGUCCUAUUCUUUUUGUACAUCAAAAUAACUGUAUGGACAUGUAUACAUAUAUUGUAUUUAAUUUAUACUUUAACAUAUUUAACAUGUAUUGGUCAUCCUACCAUCUGGGGGAGGGGAUGGGGAAGGAGGGGAAAAAUUGGAACAAAAGGUUUGGCGAUUGUCAAUGCUGUAAAAUUACCCAUGCAUAUAACUUGUAAAUAAAAAGCUAUAAUAAAAAACAAAAAUAAAAUAAAAAAGCCAUUUCCCAAAUAAGACAAUUAUAAGACAAUAUUUCCUGUGCUAAUAAGAUAGAUGGUUUCUCAUGUUUGUUACAUUUGUUAAUUAGGCUGAAGAUAUUUCCUAGUUACUGUAUAUAAGUAAGAUACAUUACUAUUCUUCUACUUGCUUGUUCUAAUCCUUCUAAUUCUUUGUGAGUAAGCUAUACGUUGUACACUAACAAAGUUUAGGCUUCAUUUAUUAUUCUAUAAAAUUUAAAUAAAAUGAGGAUGAAUCUCAUAAUGUUUUUUUUAAUUUGAAGACAAACAUUAAUCUUUUCUCUUAAAAAAAAUCAUAAUACUUGCCUCUCUCACUUCCACUAAUUUAAAAAAGAAAAAUAAACAAAAGCUUCUCUUGUAACAAAUUAAAGCAAACCUACAUAUUGGCCAUCACAAAAACAUCUGUCUCAUUCUUCAUCAAAGAGAUCUGAUUUCUGUCCAUCACCUCUCUGUCAGGAAAACAUGCUUCAUCUUACAUUUUAUCCAAUUCUGAUUAGACAUUGUGUUAAUCAGAACUCUUAAAUUUUCACAAUUCAUUUUCAAAAUUCUGUAAUCUUUGUAUAAAAUCAGGGCUUCUUAAACUUUUCCCACUUGUGGCUCCUUUUUCUGACAAAUUUUUAGCUGGCCUGGAUAUGUAGGUAUAUGAAAUAGGUAGGCAAAUCAUAUACUAUAAUAAUGAUAAUAAUAAAUCAAAAUUUCAAGACUCCCACAUUCAGUGACUGGACUCCAUAGAAGCUCCUUAACCACAGUUUAACAACUUUUGCUAUAAAGCACUGUCUUGGUUCUGCUCACUUCAGUCUGCAUUAGUUUAUAUACCUUCCCAAAUUUCUUUGAAUCUACCUCUUUUCUCAUUUCUUAUGGCACAAUAAUAUUCCAUAUUCGUAUGAUAAUUUGCUCUGCCAUCUCUCAAUUGUUAGGGAUUGCUUUAGUUUCCAGUUAUUUGCCACACAAAAAGUAUUGCUAUAGAUAUUUUUGUAGGUAUGGAUCCUUUCCUUUCUUUAACUUUUUUUUAGAUGUAUGUAUAAUAUGUAUAGUGACUGAGGGCAUAGUUCUAAAUCAUUUUCUAUAAUAGCUGAGCCAAUUCACUGCUCAGUGUGUGACUGUUCUUCCACCUCUUAGAACAAUUUUCAUUUUUCUUUUCAUAUCAUCUUGGCCAAUCUGAUGGGUAUGAGAUUGCGAGUUGUUUUAAUUUGCUUUCUCUUACUAUCAUUACUGAUUUGGAGUAUUUCCUAUAUGAUUGUUGAUAGUCUGAAACUCUUUUGAGAACUAGUGACUUCCAAUUUACUAGAUCUAUAUAAUUAUGUGUGUAUAUAUUUUUACAUAUACACAUACAUGUGUCAUGUAUGUAUAUAUGUACUAUAUAUACAUCAUGUAUCUCAUAUGUACAUACAGUAGUUGCUGGCAUUCUACCUUCUCUAGGGUAGAGACUGUUUUUGCCUUUCUUCCUAUCCCCAAGGUUUAGCUCAAUAGGUAUAAGUUUUAACACUAAUGCUGUUGCUGCUGCUGUUGCUGUUGUAUAUAGGUUAUCUAUGCACAAUUCUUCAACUAAAUAUCAUCUAAGAAAGAGAAUAUCCAUUCAAAUAUGUGAUAGCUCAUGCCCUAUAAUAUUUAACCUAAAUAGUAAGUAUCAUUCUAACACCAAUGGAUUAGUUUAUUUGUUAUAAUGCUGUGAGAUCAUUUUUAAAACAACAAUUAUUUUCCAUUAUCAGAUAAGCUAGAUAUUUUAUUGUAAGCUUUUAUUUUUCUGGAUUCCUAAUAUAAAUGCCUUUGGGAUUUGAACCACUUGUUAUUCACUUGUUAUUUUAUCAGAAAUCUAAAUAAGAUUUAGGGUAGCUAGCUGGGACAGUAGACAGAAUACUGGCCUUCCACUCAGGAAGACCUAAAUUCAAAUUUGACUUCAGACACUUAUUAGUGUAAUCCUAGGCAAGUCACUUAAGCCUCUUUGCCUCAGUUUCUUUAUCUGUAAAAUAAGCUGAAGAAACAAAUGGCAAACUAUCUUUGUCAAGAGAAUCCCAAAUGGGGUUAUGAAGAGUUAGACACAAAUGAACACCAACAAAAUAAGAUUUAACUAACAAGACAGAGGAUAAAUUAAGAAGAUAUCUUCUAUAUCCUAUAUAAUCCUAGACAGUUUGUAAUAUUCCCCCAAAUAUAUCAUCAUAGUUUUUUCUCACCUAAAUGUUCUCCAUUAUGUUUCUGUCCUCAGGGUCAUGGAUUUCCAUUCAGGAAUAUGUCUAUUAAAAUGUCCUGUUAUUCCUCCCACCCAUCUUCUUCUUUUCACCCAUCACUUCUAUUAAAUCUAAAAGUAAUAGUACAAGCCCUCUCCUUCCGGUAAUACUAAAUGUCUCCUUGAGAUUUUCCAAAAUUUUGAGGAAAUCUCCAAAGUUCAUGAGCUAUUUUCUAGGGGACACAAUGGGAAUUUAAAAGAAUCACUGAAAAGUAGUACACAUUUUUUUUUUUUUUUUUAAUCUCUAUCUUCAAUUAGACUAAGUAGGGAAUUACAGAACAAAAUUGGGAGGGAAGUGAGAUGAGAUAGGGAGGGAUAGUCCAUGAACUGAGCUAUGGAAGAUAUAAAUGAAAUUUAUUCUUCUUGACCCUACAAGAAAUAAAGACUGGGAGUAUUUGUUGGGAGUGAAGCAAGUGAGAUGAUGAGUCUUCUUGACAUCCACUGAAGAGGUUCUUUUAUGUACCAGUUCUUGUUGACCCAACUCCACUUCCCCAAAAGAAAGCAAUAACACCUUCCCUUGAAAAAGAUGGACAAUAGUUGAUAGCACCUGCAGCUUGGUGAAAAGCAUCAAACAUCUGCUUUGGAGGCAAAGAAGAAUAGCAGACAUAGAAACUGAGGUGUAGACAAAACAAAAGAGCAACUAUGGAAAUUAAGGGAGGGUGCCAGCAUUAAGAUAUCUCUGGAAUCAAACCAAGGAAGCUGCAAGAGGUGGGGGACAAGAAACUCAAACACAUACAGAUGAUAGCAGGAAGAUGGAGCUGGGAGAG
ensembl:lncRNA